rnacentral:sRNA from 1 species
AUGGCUGUCGUCAGCUCGUGUCGUGAGAUGUUGGGUUAAGUCCCGCAACGAGCGCAACCCCCGUCGCAUGUUGCCAGCAUUUAGUUGGGGACUCAUGCGAGACUGCCGGUGACAAACCGGAGGAAGGUGGGGAUGACGUCAAGUCAUCAUGCCCCUUAUGUCCAGGGCUACACACGUGCUACAUUGGCGCGUACAGAGGGCUGCGAUACCGCGAGGUGGAGCGAAUCCCUUAAAGCGCGUCUCGGUUCGGAUUGCAGGCUGAAACCCGCCUGCAUGAAGGCGGAGUUGCUAGUAAUCGCGGAUCAGCAUUGCCGCGGUGAAUACGUUCCCGGGCCUUGUACACACCGCCCGUCACACCAUGGGAGUGAGCAACACCCGAAGCCGGUGGCCUAACCCUUUUGGGAGGGAGCCGUCGAAGGUGGGGCUCGUGACUGGGGUGAAGUCGUAACAAGGUAGCCGUAGCGGAAGCUGCGGCUGGAUCACCUCCUUUCUAGGGAGCCCGUUACAGGGCACCGAUCGUCCGCACGACCGUUCAUUCGAGCUCUCGAGCUCGAACGAGACGUUCUCCUGCGCGCACGAUCGGCCACUAGAUAUGUCGACCGGACCUGGCAGGACGCACAACCUCGGGCCUGGCCCGGGCGCGAUGCAUUCCGCAUGCUGUUGAGUUUUGAGAGACCGGCGCGCUGCCGGAGCUUCAGAGGAUUUCGAUCCCACGGGCGCCGGCAGACACGCUCGCCUCUUCGCGGACCUUGAAAACUACACAGUAGCCAAUUAAACGGGUAUCACCGGGUGAAGCCGCAAGGCUUCCCCCAACAAGAUCACCGUCAAGAUAGUAAGGGCACACGGUGGAUGCCUUGGCACCAAGAGUCGAUGAAGGGCGUGAACGGCUGCGAUAAGCCGCGGUGAGGCGCUGAAUGGCCAGUGACCCGCGGAUGCCCGAAUGGGGAAACCCGG